rnacentral:rRNA from 1 species
UACGGAAUGUGCAAACGUUAUUCGGAAUCACUGGGCUUAAAGAGUCUGUAGGCGGCAUGUUAGGUGAGGUGUGAAAUCCCCCGGCUCAACCGAGGAAUUGCGCUUCAAACCGGCGUGCUUGAGGAAGAUAGAGGUGGGCGGAACUGAUGGUGGAGCGGUGAAAUGCGUUGAUAUCAUCAGGAACACCGGAGGCGAAGGCGGCCCACUGGGUCUUUUCUGACGCUGAGGGACGAAAGCUAGGGGAGCGAACGGG